rnacentral:rRNA from 1 species
GGAUUGCCUUAGUAGCGGCGAGCGAAGCGGCAACAGCUCAAAUUUGAAAUCUGGCUACUUUGUAGUCCGAGUUGUAAUUUGCAGAGGAUGCUUUUGGUGAGGUGCCUUCCGAGUUCCCUGGAACGGGACGCCAGAGAGGGUGAGAGCCCCGUACGGUUGGACACCAAACCUUUGUAUAGCUCCUUCAACGAGUCGAGUAGUUUGGGAAUGCUGCUCUAAAUGGGAGGUAUAUCUCUUCUAAAGCUAAAUACCGGCUAGAGACCGAUAGCGCACAAGUAGAGUGAUCGAAAGAUGAAAAGCACUUUGAAAAGAGAGUUAAACAGCACGUGAAAUUGUUGAAAGGGAAGCGCCUAUGACCAGACUUGUUUCUGUCAGUUUUGCUUGUUUUCGGACUUGUUUACUCUGUCAGUACAGGCCAACAUCAGUUUGUUGUUUGGGAGAAAGGCUUAGGGAAUGUGGCUCCCUCGGGAGUGUUAUAGCCCUUUGCAUAAUACCAUUCGGCAGACUGAGGACCGCGCUUCGGCAAGGAUGUUGGCGUAAUGGUCAUCAGCGACCCGUCUUGAAACACGGACCAAGGAGUCAACCUUAUGUGCGAGUGUUUGGGUGUAAAACCCCAGCGCGUAAUGAACGUGAACGUAGGUGAGAGCUUCGGCGCAUCAUCGACCGAUUCUGAUGUUCUCGGAUGGAUUUGAGUAAGAGCAUAUAGGGUUGGACCCGAAAGAAGGUGAACUAUGCUUGUAUAGGGUGAAGCCAGAGGAAACUCUGGUGGAGGCUCGCAGCGGUUCUGACGUGCAAAUCGAUCGUCAAAUAUGAGCAUGGGGGCGAAAG